ensembl:miRNA MIR3170 microRNA 3170
CUGGUAACACUGGGGUUCUGAGACAGACAGUGUUAGCUCCAGAAGCAUUGCCUGUCUUAGAACCCCUAUGUUACCAG